UUCCCUCUUCGUUUUUCCAGUUCGUUCAUGCACGCACUCUAUCUUUAUAUAUAUAUAUAUCCAUGGUAUAAACAUGCAUACCUAACCAAUAUACCGUAUGCCAGGCUAUGAGCGAGUCAACUUAUUGUAGAUGUGUGAAAUAAGUCAAUUAAGUGUAACUUUAUAAUUGUUGAUUACAAUGUGGUACUUGGUUAAUGAACAAGGUGUCCGCAUAUAUUUAAAACCAAAUCAAGAGACGUUAAUCGGCAGGAAGAAAGCUGACAUUGUUUUGCCAAAUGAUAAAUCAAUCAGCAAGGAACAUGCCUCAAUUAGCGUUACAAAAUUGGAGGAGAUAAGGAGUACUGAACCAACAUCUAUAUGUAAACUAAAAGACUUAAAGUCAAAAUAUGGUACUUUUAUCCUUCAUGAACAUGACAUAAUACAACUAACUGAAACUGAAUGUAUUUUAAAACACCAAGAUACAAUAAGAUUUGGUUUACAGAACCAUGUAUUUAAGGUGAUAAAUGUGCCUAUAAUAACAACAGUAUCUACUUUAUGUGAUAACGAGAUAGAAAGAUUAAAACAAUUGAUGGAAGAAAUUGAUGGUGUAAUAAUUACUGACAGCGAUUGGAGAAGGGCAUCCACUUAUUUAACAGUAGGAAAUGCUAUCUUAACACUAAAGCUUGCCUCUGCUAUGGCUUCUGCUCUACCAAUAGUGACAAUGAAAUAUUGGGACGAAGUUAAAUCUGCAAUAGAUAAUGGUCAGCAACUUCCAGAUUCAAAUAAUUUUGUUCCACCAAUUAAUGAACCAUUAAUCGCUAAAAAAAAGGUAUUGAUUUCUCCAAACAAGAAAAGAACGACGUUAUUUGAAAAUUUAACAUUUAUACAUUUUAGUACAACUCAAUAUAGGAAAUAUAAAAAAAUCAUUAGAAUAGCAGGUGGAAUACCACAAUUAUUUGAAAGAGCAAACCUAACAACUACAGAAUUUUGUAGCCCAAACGUGAUUGUACUACAAUAUUCAGACAAUGAUUCAACACAGAUCACAGAAAAUGUUUUCUGUACAUAUCAUUCAAUACAACAAGCAUUGAAAGCAAAUAAUUAUAGAAUGAUAGCUGAAGUUGAAAUUUGUCUUGCAAUAUUGCAUUGUUCGACAGAAAAAUAUUGCAAUCCUAUGUAUAAAUUCGCAAAGCUUUUAAAAAGAUCGGAACGAAAGAAUGAUUCAUGUGAGAUUUUAAAUCUUGAUACACAAGACGAAACAGCCAAAGUGUCAGCAUUACCAACUUCUUCGUUUUCGAUAUCGACACCCGUAAAACACCGUAUUAUUCCUGAAACAUUGGAUAUCAGUCAAGAACCAUUACCAAAUGUAAGUGGUGUUGUCAUAAAACCUACAGAAGAGCAAAAAUAUAAUAAAAUACAAUGCAUAAGAAAAACUCCUAAUGAUACUUCAGCAACAGAGAAUGUGCAAGUUACACGAUCAAGAGUAAUUUCCAACGUUUCGGCAACGACAUCCGUGAAAAUAAGACAACGUGUUAUUCCUGAAACAUUGAGUAGCAUCAGUAGUCAAGAAUCACAAUCAGAUGUACAUUAUAUUUUCACACAACCAACAGGAACACAAAGAUAUAAUGAAAUACAGUGCAUAAAAGAAACUCCUACUGAUGCUUCAGCAACAAUGAGAAAUGUGCAAGUUAAACAACCAAGUGUUAUUCCUGAAACAUUGAGCAGCAUUAGUAGCCAAGAAUUACAAUCAAAUUCAAAUUUUGCUGAUACACAACCUACAAGAAAGCAAAAAUGUAAUAAAUUACAAUACAUAGACGAAACUCCUGAUGCUUCAGCAACAGAGGCAAGUAUGCAAGAUAUACGAUCUAAUGAAAACAAUUCGACUUUUCCUAACAUGUUCUCACAAAUCAUUCGAUAUUCUAACCAUGAUAACCAGAAUUUACACAAACACGGUAAUGUACAGGAUAAGAGACAAUCAAAGGAAGUAAUAAUCUUAAGUGAUGAUGAAAUUGAACUAAAACCAGUACAGCAAAAUAAAAAUAAUAACACGAAUUCUAAUAAAGAUUUCAUACAUAAUACAUUGAAUAAUAUAUUUAAAACAAGUAAUUCAAGAGAUGAAAAUAGGCAAAUGCAACAAACAGCUCGAUUAACUGAUAAUCGUAUAGCUGCCACAAAUUUAAAAGAAAUGUGUGAGGUCAAUAAAAAAAUAGAAUUAAUAAAUGUGCACCCUGUAACACUAGAAGUAGAGAAAAAGCAUAAUAAAGAAACGACAUGUUCAGAAAAUUCAAUUACACCACAUACAACAGAACCACUAAAUACACCUGAAGAUUCUCUUAUAUGUUCUGUGGAAAAAGAAAAAAGGAAACAUAAAGCACAAAAUGUUAUAAGUUCCGCACUAAAAAGUAAUUCAUCACUUCGAGCUCAUCUUAAUUUCAAAGUGUUCAAAAAGGUUCCUGCUAUAGUUCCUCAGAAAAGGAUAAAAAUCGAUAAUAUAUUGAUGGCGUCUUGGAGAAACGUUAGUUUUACGCGGGAAGUCCAGCGAAACGGAACAUCUUCCAGAUCCCAUUAGGGAACAUUCGUGGUCGUGUGUAAUGUGAUCAGCAGAGUCAGUGUUUGCUACGUGAAGUUAUCUCCAAUAUUUUUGAGAUUAAGAUAGUUCUUAGUGAUCAUAAAUUGAAUCAGAAUUCAUACGCGAAUUUAAACGCCAGUGUUUGUCCGUCGCUUGUAAUUUAAACGAGCACGUUAAUAGUCUUUUAUCUUUUUUAUACACAUACACACACACGCGCGCGCGCGCGCGCACACACACACACACACGCGCGCGCGCGCACACACACACACACACACACAACACACAGAUAUAUUCUUCUUUUUAAAUACUCUUUUCCGGUAUUAGAAUCAGCCCUCCCCUCAAAAGGAUCCAACCUCUUUAAAAACCAAGAACUGUCGGUGCCUUCAUGAUGUUUCCCGGACAAAGAUAAUACUAAUAACAAUAUUCUUCGCACCUAGUGCGAGCAUGGCCUGCCUCCAUCUAUGCGUGUGCACAGUGGAUCCGUUCGCUGGUCGGAUGCAAUUACGGAUCGGGGCCGGACCGAGAAAAACGCCCAGUGCAUCGCUUGCCAAUUACUGGAAGGAAAGGCAAGGGAGUCUCCAAUUUGCUACUAACUUCUCUCAACGAAGGGCGGAAGCGGCACGGAAGGGUGUGGCACCCAGUUACCGAACGCGAAUUGCACGGAAGCCUUUGCGAAUGUGAACUGAGUGCAACAGUAUUUAUUAAUCUCUCAAAUGAUAACUCUUGAAGAAAUUAAUUGUGCAAAUUGAAGUAAAUCAAUUUGAGCGCGAUAAUAAUGAUCCACAAUGUGUUGAAUUAAAAGUACGUACAUAAUACGUAGAUUAAGGAUUUAAUUUAUAUUUAACAUACGAAAUGCUCGGUUGAACGCAUUUUUUACUUAAAUUAUGCGAAACAUUGCCGGGAGAAACACAAUGUAACAUUUUGACGUGUAACACGAACGUUGAUAACGUUCUGUUACAAUGGAAAAUAACAAGCUUUCUUUAUCGCGUAUUUCACGGUAGAAAAUGUGAUCGAUUGGCGUACGUGAUGGUGAAACUGAUACUAAAGAUAGGCACGCAAAGUACAAAUGUCAGAGUAAAUCAAUAAUAUAAAGGAACGUUGCUGCGAAACACAGAGCAAGUACUAUAAUAAAUACACUAGAUCAGAAGAAUUCUAAAAUUAAACAGAACAACGUAUAAAUACUACACUUAGACUGGAAUAUUAAACCUACUACGAAAAUGCUAUAUCAAAAAUACAUCCAAUGUUAAAAAUAGAAUUCAAUAAUGUUACAAAUAACCACUAAUGUAUACAACAAUGUGUAAACGAAAGAACUGUUUGGCCAAUUUAAAAUAAAUUCACUGAAGAAGGUUGCAAAUUUUGAUCUGUCGUUGUUCUUUGAUGGAUC